rnacentral:rRNA from 1 species
AACGAACGCUGGCGGCAGGCUUAACACAUGCAAGUCGAGCGCCCCGCAAGGGGAGCGGCAGACGGGUGAGUAACACGUGGGAACCUUCCUAGAGGUACGGAACAACUCAGGGAAACUCGAGCUAAUACCGUAUACGCUCUUGCGAGGAAAGAUUUAUCGCCUUUAGACGGGCCCGCGUCGGAUUAGCUAGUUGGUGGGGUAACGGCCUACCAAGGCGACGAUCCGUAGCUGAUCGGAGAGGAUGAUCAGCCACACUGAGACUGAGACACGGCCCAGACUCCUACGGGAGGCAGCAGUGGGGAAUCUUGGACAAUGGGCGCAAGCCUGAUCCAGCCAUGCCGCGUGAGUGAAGAAGGCCUUCGGGUUGUAAAGCUCUUUUGCCAGGGACGAUAAUGACGGUACCUGGAGAAUAAGCCCCGGCAAACUUCGUGCCAGCAGCCGCGGUAA